AGAACGAACGCUGGCGGCAUGCCUAACACAUGCAAGUCGAACGCUCUUGGGAUUUCGGUCUCAAGGGAGUGGCGCACGGGUGAGUAGCGCGUGGGAACCUGCCCUGUUGUGGGGGAUAACCGAGGGAAACUUCGGCUAAUACCGCAUAAGCCGGCUGUCUUGCGAAAGAUGGCCGGGAAAGAUUUAUCGCGACAGGAGGGGCCCGCGUCGGAUUAGGUAGUUGGCGGGGUAACGGCCCACCAAGCCGGUGAUCCGUAGCUGGUCUGAGAGGAUGAUCAGCCACACUGGGACUGAGACACGGCCCAGACUCCUACGGGAGGCAGCAGUGGGGAAUAUUGGACAAUGGGCGCAAGCCUGAUCCAGCAAUGCCGCGUGAGUCGAUGAAGGCCUUAGGGUUGUAAAGCUCUUUCGCCCGCGACGAUGAUGACGGUAGCGGGAGAAGAAGCCCGGCUAACUUCGUGCCAGCAGCCGC
rnacentral:rRNA from 1 species